rnacentral:rRNA from 1 species
UACAGAGGGUGCAAGCGUUAAUCGGAAUUACUGGGCGUAAAGCGUGCGUAGACGGUAGCGUAAGUCGGGUGUGAAAGCCCGGGCUCAACCUGGGAAUUGCAUUCGAGACUGCUCUGCUAGGGUGCGGAAGAGGGAAGCGGAAUUUCCGGUGUAGCGGUGAAAUGCGUAGAUAUCGGAAGGAACACCAGUGGCGAAAGCGGCUUCCUGGUCCAGCACCGACGUUCAGGCACGAAAGCGUGGGAGCAAACAGG